rnacentral:rRNA from 1 species
UUAGGAAUAUUCGUCAAUGGGGGAAACCCUGAACGAGCAAUGCCGCGUGAACGAUGAAGGCCCUAUGGGUUGUAAAGUUCUGUUGUAUGGGAAGAAUUGCUAGGAUAGGAAAUGAUCUUAGUUUGACGGUACCAUACCAGAAAGCUCCGGCUAACUACGUGCCAGCAGCCGCGGUAAUACGUAGGGAGCGAGCGUUAUCCGGAUUUAUUGGGCGUAAAGGGUGUGUAGGCGGUUUGUUAAGUAUGAGAUUAAAGCCCGAGGCUUAACCUCGGUUCGUUUCAUAAACUGGCAGACUUGAGUAUGGCAGAGGUAAACGGAAUUUCUAGUGUAGCGGUAGAAUGCGUAGAUAUUAGAAGGAACACCAGUGGCGAAGGCGGUUUGCUGGGCCAUAACUGACGCUGAGGCACGAAAGCGUGGGGAGCAAAUAGG